CAAGGAGACAGGUGGUGCAUGGUUGUCGUCAGCUCGUGUCGUGGGAUGUGGGUUAAGUCCCGCAACGAGCGCAACCCCUGUGGUUAGUUGCCAGCAAGUAGCGUUGGGCACUCUAGCCAGACUGCCGGCGAUAAAUCGGAGGAAGGUGGGGACGACGUCAAAUCAUCAUGCCCUUUAUGUCCUGGGCUACACACGUACUACAAUGGCCGUUACAACGGGAAGCGAAGGAGCAAUCCGGAGCAAAUCCCUUAAAGGCGGUCCCAGUUCAGAUUGUGGGCUGAAACUCGCCCACAUGAAGGCGGAAUUGCUAGUAAUUGCAGAUCAGCAUGCUGCAGUGAAUACGUUCCCGGGCCUU
rnacentral:rRNA from 1 species